rnacentral:rRNA from 1 species
UACAGAGGUCCCAAGCGUUGUUCGGAUUCACUGGGCGUAAAGGGUGCGUAGGUGGCCAGGUAAGUUUGGUGUGAAAGCUCGGAGCUUAACUCUGAAAAGUCAUUGAAUACUAUCUGGCUGGAGGGUCGGAGGGGAGACUGGAAUUCUCGGUGUAGCAGUGAAAUGCGUAGAUAUCGAGAGGAACACCAGUGGCGAAGGCGAGUCUCUGGACGACACCUGACACUGAGGCACGAAAGCUAGGGGAGCAAACAGG